AUUCAGGCACAAUGCAAAGGGAACUUAAGGGAUUGGGACUGAACAGCUGUGUAGCUUUAAGAAAACCACUAACCAGUAAGGCUAAUCUGAAAAAAAGGCUUCAAUUUCUAAGGAGCAUAAAGAUUGGACUCUGGAGCAAUGGAAGAAAGUCAUGUGGUCUGAUGAGUCCAAAUUUACCCUGUUUCAGAGUGAUGUGUGCAUCAGGGUAAGAAUAGAAGCAUAUGCAGUGAUGCACCCAUCAUACCUAGUGCAAUCUGGGGUUGCUGCAGUUGGUCAGGUCUAAGCUCAGAAACAUUAUGUGCCCAAAGAAUGAGGUCAGCUGACUACCUUUUUUUUCCCUGAUGGCACUGGCAUAUUCCAAGAUGACAAUGCCAGUAUUUAUCAGGCUCAAAUUGUGAAAGAGUGGUUCAGUUAGCAUGAGAGAUCAUUUUCACACAUGGAUUGGCCACCACAGAGUCCAGAAUCUUUGGGAUGUGCUGGAGAAGGCUUUGCGCAGUGGUCCGACUCUCCCAUCAUCAAUACAAGAUCAUGGUGAAAAAUGAAUGCAACACUGGUCAGAAAUAAAUCUUUUGACAUUGCAGAAGCUUAUCGAAACAAUGCUACAACGAAUGAGUGACGUAAUCAAAGCUAAAG